GUGGAUUAGAUACCCGGGUAGUCCACGCCGUAAACGAUGUCUACUAGCCGUUGGGAUCCUUGAGAUCUUAGUGGCGCAGCUAACGCACUAAGUAGACCGCCUGGGGAGUACGGUCGCAAGAUUAAAACUCAAAUGAAUUGACGGGGGCCCGCACAAGCGGUGGAGCAUGUGGUUUAAUUCGAAGCAACGCGAAGAACCUUACCAGGUCUUGACAUCCAGAGAACUUUCCAGAGAUGGAUUGGUGCCUUCGGGAACUCUGAGACAGGUGCUGCACGGCCGUCGACAGCU
rnacentral:rRNA from 1 species